CGAAAAAACAGGACACUCACAGUUCAGGAAACUACCAAGGGUCCAAGGAGAGGCCUUGCUUGGCCGUGGUGUGGUCCUGCAACUCCAGGGCAGACCUAGACUCAUGGGAAAGUCCCUGCUUUGUGAUGAGGCUGAAAGAGGAUGAGUGGGGAGUGGCCGGAAGAAGAAAGGGUGUAACCAGAGACCAGUGUCAACAAGGAAUCUGGCUUGGAACGCUUUUGUCUGCAGCCCUCUUUGGAGCGUGACUUGCUCUUUCAGAGGUCUGUAUUUCUCUACCUGGACUACCCUGAGAGCUAACCCCAGUUAUUGGUCUGGAAGCAACGAAUGAAGGCCGGGGCAGAGCUUGAGGAGGGCAACAUCAUUUUGUCACAGUCGCCAUCAAGAAUCUAGUUGCAGACUGGGCGCUGUGGCUCACGCCUGUAAUCC
rnacentral:lncRNA from 1 species